ensembl:misc_RNA Metazoa_SRP Metazoan signal recognition particle RNA
GCCAGGCACAGUGGUGCUUGCCUGUAGUCCCAGCUACUUGGGAGGUUGAGGUGGGAGGAUCGCUUGAGCCCAGAAGUUCUGGCCUGUAGUGCACUAUGCCAACUGGGUGUCUGCACUAAGUUCGGCAUCAAUGUGGUGACCUCCCGGGAGCGGGGGACCGGCCCAGAUUGUAAAUGGAGCAGGUCGAAAUGCCUGUGCUGAUCAGUAGUAAGAUCGCGCCUAUGAAUAGCCACUGCACUCCAGCCUGGGCAACAUAGCGAGACCCCAUCUCUU